CACAAUUUACCAUGGCCUCGCGAGUGCUGAUGUUCUGUUUGCUGAUAGUUGUGCUCAUGUUGGAUGUAGUGAUGAGUGCGCCUAUGACCGAAGCUGACGAAGAAGUGCAAGGGAAUCCUGCGGCCUACAGGAUCCAGAACUUAUUUAAAAAGGUUCAGGAAACCUGGACCAAAAUCUGCCCUUACGCUGAAGAUCGCCACCACGAAGAUGCAUCAAAACUGUAGAAAAGAGGCUGCUUGAAAGAUGCAACUUCUAAACGUUGGACAACGAUAAUACUCAUUUAUAGUAUUCUAACAUGAACUUUGAAAAAAAUAGUAAAUAUAUGUGAUAUUCGAAAUAAGCUGUGAUUUGUUUGUACAAAUAAAUAUGUUAGAUAGAGUUUUAUUUAUUUAAAAACUGACGGAAUUAUUAUAUUUAACCGUACAGGAGUUAUAGACAAAUUAGUUUUUUUUAGCAAUAUGUAUAGUACCUAUUUAAAUAAUAAAAACUAGUAUUUUUUAAA